rnacentral:lncRNA from 1 species
GUUUAUUUUGUAGUGUAUGCCUUGCCAAAUGUACAUUGAACUUUAAAUGUGUAAAUAUUUGAAUUUAUGCUUCUCAUGUAUCCCUUUUUACACUUCUCAGAACUUCGUACUACCUAGAGUCUGUAGUUUAUUGUGUGUCCUAACACGUUUAUAUGGUCGUUAGAUUACCUUUUUAUGUCACCAUACUCAAAUUGCACGUAGUACCUAAAUUGCAUCCUUUUAGUAAAAAUAACAGCUGAAACUUUACAAUUUUGUUUAGAGUCAAAACAAUUAUUCUCGUCUUUGGACAUAGCUAGAUAUAUUUAACUAUUGUAAAAGUAAAUUGUUGAGGUAAAACACUGAUUCUUGCUUCACAUUUUUUUUUAUAAAAUUUUCAAAGCUCAAUACAACCAGGAAUUUGUCGUUCAUUAUUGACCUUCCAAAAUGUACCUGGUAUCAUGAUGACCUUCUUAUGUGUAAAUAGUUAUCUAGUUUUUGAUGUUUUUUUUUUUUGUUUUUUUAAGUUAAUCACAAAUUAACGCUUCAUAUUUACCACUGUUUUUUUCAAAUUAUUAUAGGCCCAUACGACCUAGAGUGUGUCGUACAUUGCAUGUAUGGUCAAAUGAACAUUGUCAUAUGAUUACUUAUAAUUAUGAAAAAAGGUUAUUUUUUUUAAACAAUAUGUUAAUGUAUGCCUCAUACAUAUAUCUGGAAGAGUUUCAAAACACAAUUAUUGUUUUAUUUGGUGUUUCUAUAGCAUAUUUUGAGAACUUGAGUUUGCAUAGUUACUAAAGAUUGAACACAGGUUAAAAAGUAAAUUUGAUUGGUUAACUUCUAGUGAUUGUUAGAUUUGUAUAUGCAAUGAAACGUUAUUUGAAAGUUGUCUAAAGUUCUAGACAGAAUAAAAAUUUACUCAUGGCAAGUAUUUCUUCAUUUGAAUCAAAGAUGAACUCUUAACACUUUGUUUCAACGGCGGUAUUACACCGAGAGGUUUCUUACAUUGUAUGUUUAGCCAGCUGUAAAGGUCUUAUAUCAUGACCUUAACAAUUUUAGAAGGGUAAUCCUUUUUUUGAAGUAACAAACAAAUUUAAAUUAAUGUAUGUGAUAUGUCAAACCCGUUUUAAUGUAAUGUUUAUUUUCUAUUACUUAAGUAAUUUCAAAAAUAACUAACGUUAGAUUAAAAAUGUUUUAAUGCCACUAAAUUUAAAGUCGUGACAAAUAAUUCAAACAAUCAUUUGGACAUAAAUUGAAUAUUUAAUCAAGAUAUAGAGUUCUCAGGUGAAUCUGAGUUUAUUAUUCCUCCUGUUUCAGCUUAUCUAGACCGAAAGGCCAAGUGAGUUUUUCUCAUUACUUUGCGUCCGUCGUCCGUCGUCGUCGUCUAGCGUCGUCUGUUAACUUUUACAAAAAUCUUCCCUUCUGAAACUACUGGGCCAAAUUUAACCAAACUUAGCCACAAUCAUUAUUAGGGUAUCUAGUUUGAACAAUGUGUCCAGUGAACCAUCCAACCAACCAAGAUGACUCAAUGGCUAAAAAUAGAACAUAGGGGUAAGAUGUAGGCUUUGGCUAAUAACUCUGAAACCAAAGAGUUUAGAGCAAAUCUGACGUGAAUUAAAUUGUUUAUCAAGUCAAGAUCUAUCUGCCCUGAAAUUUUCGGAUGAAUCGGACAACCGGUUGUUGGGUUGCUGCCCCUGAAUUGGUAAUUUUAAGGAAAUUGUGCUGUUUUUGGUUAUCAUCUUGAAUAUUAAUAUAGAUAGAGAUAAACUGAAAACAGCACUAAUGUAUAGCACAGUAAGACCUACAAUGUACAAAUAAGUCAUAAUGAGCAAAAUGGUCAAUUGACCCCUAAAGGAGUUUAUAGUUCAAUUUAACAAUUUUCAUUUUUUUUUUGUCGCUGUAACUACUUGGCAAAGUGCACUAUAUAAAGAUAUAUUGUUAACAGCAAGAGUGUUCAGUAAAGCAAUGUCUACAAAACCAUCACCAUCAUCAAAAACACAAUUUUGUCAUUGUCUGUGUCCUUAAAAAUUUGAUUAAUAUGCACAUAGACAAAGGUGCGCGACACA